rnacentral:rRNA from 1 species
AUUAUUAAGCGGAGGAAAAGAAAGCAAAAGCGAUUCCCCAAGUAACGGCGAGUGAACAGGGAUAAGCCUAGCGCUAAGGCUCAAUGUGGUUUUGUGUGUAAAAGCACAAAAUCAUUAUAAAGCAUUGAGCGGUGCAGCGUUACAAUCUUUGAUGUUUAGUGGCACCAAUGGGUAGCAAAUGCAGGCAACUGUAUCUGUUGCUUUUCAGGCCUAGCGUACAAGUCCCACUGACUUGGGCUUAUUCUUACAAUUGAGAUGUCUACGGGCUUGGGGCAACCUGGGUUCGUGGAUGAGCCAUAGAGGGUGAAAGUCCCUUAAUGCGCGGGUAUUGGUGUCACGAAUCAGAGCAGUGGCGUUUGUGCGUGUGUGGCAACACAUACGUUGCGAGCGUCACGGUUUGUCAGAGUCGGGUUGCUUGAGAGUGCAACCUAAAGAGCGAGGUAAACUGCUCGUAAGGCUACGAUUUAAAUACGGCUACGACACCGAUAGCAAACAAGUACCGUGAGGGAAAGUUGCAAAGUACUUUGAAGAGAGAGUUAAACAGGGCGUGAAACCGCUAGCUGGAAAACGAGUGGAGCCACGAAGUCGUUUCGUAGAUCACGGAUUGCAAACUCAGCCAAGGUGCCGUGAAAAAGCGUCUUGGUGUAUUUUUGUGUUAAAUUCCGCUACUGUAAGCGUACACUGCAACCAAUUAGACGGACAAGCGUGGAAAUAGUUUGCAUGUUUUAUGGGGCAACCUGUAGCGUGUGAGCGAAAGAAUUUGUGCACUUAUGUGUAGGUAGCCGCGGGUUUCGUUGUGGUGUGUUUCGGCACACUACAACACCGUGGUGCAUAUGACAUUAUUCGUAAGUGCGUGAACUACGCUUGUGUACUGAUUGGCACAAUGAAAAUCGAGCCACUUGUGUGCUCGUUACAUAAAAAGCGGCCAAUAUCGUGUUUGUGUACAAUUGCUCGCCGCUUGUAACAAGCUUGGUAUUUUUGAAUUCAGGCACGUAUAUUGUCGGUGGGCUCGUCUCGCCGACAUAUUCGCUGUUUCCUGUCUAAUCGAAUAUCGACUUUUCUGGCGGUUUGAUGUAGUUGAAACGAUAGCAUCGAAUGCGAUAAUUGGCUUGCAAUUGAUUGGCAGUGAGUAGGUCGGCUUUCCACACGACCCGUCUUGAAACACGGACCAAGGAGUCUAGUUAAGUAUCGAGUCGAUCGGUCUUGAUUAGGCCAGACGCCUGGGAGUGAGUGUAUUUUUUAUCAAUAUACUUGCGUCUCGGAAAAAAUUUAAAAUGACGGCACAGUGAAAUCAAAUCAUAUGUGAUCUGAGGCCUACAACAAUGGUCUACAGCGCAACAUAUGCCCACUUGUAUGGUUAUACGCGCAAGUGUUAGCCAAGUGGAGCAAAGAGAUACUUGACUGGUACCCGAAAGAUGGUGAACUAUUCCUGGCCAAAUUGAAGCCAGAGGAAACUCUGGUGGAGGAUUGUAGCGAUUCUGACGUGCAAAUCGAUCGUCAGAGCUGGGUAUAGGGGCGAAAGACUAAUCGAACCAUCUAGUAGCUGGUUCCCUCCGAAGUUUCCCUCAGGAUAGCAAGCUCUUGCAGAAAUGUGAAACAGUUUCAUCUGGUAAAGCGAAUGAUUAGAGGCCUUGGGAGCGAAACGCUCUCAACCUAUUCUCAAACUUUAAAUGGGUGAGAUGUACGACGUGCUUAAUUGACGCCGUGAGUAUUACACAGAAUGUAUUGAGAGCUUAGUGGGCCAUUUUUGGUAAGCAGAACUGGCGAUGCGGGAUGAACCGAAAGUGAAGUUAAGGUUGCCGAUAAUGGUGCUUAAAAUGUUUGUGCACUAGCUACACUCAUGAGAUCCCAUGAAAGGUGUAAGUUGCUAAAGACAGCAAGGACGUGGCCAUGGAAGUCGGAAACAUCUAAGGAGUGUGUAACAACUCACUUGCCGAAGCAACUUGCCCUGAAAAUGGAAGCAGCUCGAGUGUUGAACCUAUACUUGACCGUUGAAUCGUCGUCGUUAUUGCGAUUAGUUAUGAUUCAACGUGUAGGAGGGUUGUGUUGGUAGCGUUGAAGGCUAAGAGGGAGUGAUCCUGGCUGGAGCUGCCAAUAGURCAGAUCUUGGUGGUAGUAGCAAAUACUCAAGUGAGACCCUUGAGGGCCAAUGUGGAGAAGGGUUCCAUGCUAACAGCAAUUGGACAUGGGUCAGUCGGUCCUAAGAGAAUGGCGAAAGCUAUUUCUGAAUCAAAGGCAGUGUUGUUUUUAAAAUUUUAAAUGAUCACUGUAUGACUCGAAAGGGAAUUAGGUUAAUAUUCCUAAACCAAGAUGGGGAGAUUGUCAGAUGUGCGGUGCCAUGUAUUUGGCCUGUGCAAAUGACAAAGGCGGUAACGCAAACAAGCACGAUGACGCCGGCGGCAGCCCUGGGAAGAGUUGUCUUUUCUUUGUAAGCUUACUGUGUUUUUUCAACGAGACCUUGGAAUCGAAUCAUUCGAAGAUAAGGUCGUAGUAAGCGUAA